rnacentral:rRNA from 1 species
GCCGACGGCCCCCCUGAACGCUGUCUGAAGUUGCAGUCUGAGACCUAUAACGAAAUUAGUUAAAACUUUCAACAACGGAUCUCUUGGUUCCGGCAUCGAUGAAGAACGCAGCGAAAUGCGAUAACUAAUGUGAAUUGCAGAAUUCAGUGAAUCAUCGAGUCUUUGAACGCACAUUGCGCCCUCUGGUAUUCCGGAGGGCAUGCCUGUCCGAGCGUCAUUGCUGCCCUCAAGCCCGGCUUGUGUGUUGGGCCCCGUCCCCCCCGCCGGGGGGACGGGCCCGAAAGGCAGCGGCGGCACCGCGUCCGGUCCUCGAGCGUAUGGGGCUUCGUCACCCGCUCUAGUAGGCCCGGCCGGCGCCAGCCGACCCCCAACCUUUAAUUAUCUCAGGUGACCUCGGAUCAGGUAGGG